AGUGAACGCUGGCGGUAGGCCUAACACAUGCAAGUCGAACGGCAGCACAGGAGAGCUUGCUCUCUGGGUGGCGAGUGGCGGACGGGUGAGGAAUACAUCGGAAUCUACUCUGUCGUGGGGGAUAACGUAGGGAAACUUACGCUAAUACCGCAUACGACCUACGGGUGAAAGCAGGGGAUCUUCGGACCUUGCGCGAUUGAAUGAGCCGAUGUCGGAUUAGCUAGUUGGCGGGGUAAAGACCCACCAAGGCGACGAUCCGUAGCUGGUCUGAGAGGAUGAUCAGCCACACUGGAACUGAGACACGGUCCAGACUCCUACGGGAGGCAGCAGUGGGGAAUAUUGGACAAUGGGCGCAAGCCUGAUCCAGCCAUACCGCGUGGGUGAAGAAGGCCUUCGGGUUGUAAAGCCCUUUUGUUGGGAAAGAAGUCCAGCUGGCUAAUACCCGGUUGGGAUGACGGUACCCAAAGAAUAAGCACCGGCUAACUUCGUGCCAGCCGCCGCGGUAA
rnacentral:rRNA from 1 species